rnacentral:rRNA from 1 species
UACGUAGGGUGCAAGCGUUAAUCGGAAUUACUGGGCGUAAAGAGUGCGUAGGCGGUUGCUGAAGUCCGCUGUGAAAGCCCCGGGCUCAACCUGGGAAUGGCAGUGGAAACUAGGCGACUUGAAUCUGGCAGAGGGGGGUGGAAUGCCGCGUGUAGCAGUGAAAUGCGUAGAGAUGCGGCGGAACACCGAUGGCGAAGGCAGCCCCCUGGGCUGAGAUUGACGCUCAGGCACGAAAGCGUGGGGAGCAAACAGG